UGGAGGGACUGCCGGCGACAAGCCGGAGGAAGGUGGGGAUGACGUCAAGUCAUCAUGGCCCUUAUGUCCAGGGCGACACACGUGCUACAAUGGCCGGCACAGCGGGAAGCGGAGGGGCGACCCUGAGCGGAUCCCUUGAAAGCCGGUCCCAGUUCGGAUUGCAGUCUGCAACUCGACUGCAUGAAGUUGGAAUCGCUAGUAAUCGCGGAUCAGCCAAGCCGCGGUGAAUACGUUCCCGGGCCUU
rnacentral:rRNA from 1 species